rnacentral:tRNA from 1 species
GGCGCUGUAGCUCAGUUGGCUAGAGCAUUCGGUUCAUACCCGACAGGUCACUGGUUCGAGUCCAGUUAGCGCCACCA